CAGAUUUUAGUAUAAUUGCUAUUACAUAGGAUUUAUAUCCUAAGAUAUUGGUUGGAUUCCAAUAUAUCUGU
rnacentral:tRNA from 1 species